rnacentral:tRNA from 1 species
GCCCGGGUGGUGGAAUUGGUAGACACAAGGGACUUAAAAUCCCUCGGCCCUUAAAGCCGUGCCGGUUCGAUUCCGGCCCCGGGUA